UAUAUACUUCCUCCGAUCGAGAAUACUCGUCAGAGAAAUAAAUGUGUCUAGAUAUAUUUUAGUUUCAAAUACGUUAAUUUUUAUCCAUUUCUAUGACCAAUAAUUUCGGACGGAGGGAGUAUAUC
rnacentral:pre_miRNA from 1 species